GAAGAAUGUAAAGAGAAACGAGUGCCAUUUUUUGAAAAAAGUUGGCUUCAAACCCAAAAAGGGCAUUCACUUUAUGCCCUGCUCAGGACUGAUUGGAGCGAAUCUUAAGGAGCAAUCAAAUUUCUGUCCUUGGUACAUUGGAUUACCAUUUAUUCCAUAUCUGGAUAAUCUGCCAAACUUCAAUAGAUCAGUUGAUGGACCAAUCAGGCUGCCUAUUGUGGAGAAUAAACUGAAUAUGGGCACUGUGGUCCUGGGAAAGCUGGAAUCAGGAUCUAUUUGUAAAGGCUUGUGAUGAUGCCAAACAAGGUAAGAGUAAAUAAUACUCUUUCUCAUUUAGAUUUUCUCUUCAAAAUAUUAGCAAGGAGCCAGAACUUUUCAAGGUCUUAGGGAUUUCCAUUAAAAACAUGACAUUAAUAAAAUGUAAUCCUGGAUUUUAACAG